rnacentral:rRNA from 1 species
UACGGAGGGUGCGAGCGUUGUUCGGAAUCAUUGGGCGUAAAGCGCGCGCAGGCGGCUUUGGAAGUCUAUGGGUUAAAUGCCGGGGCUCAACCCCGAGUGAGCCCAAGAUACUCCGAGGCUGGAGACACGUAGAGGCAAGCGGAAUUCCGGGUGUAGCGGUGGAAUGCGUAGAGAUCCGGAAGAACACCGGAGGCGAAGGCGGCUUGCUGGGCGUGAUCUGACGCUGAGGCGCGAAAGCGUGGGGAGCGAACAGG